ensembl:lncRNA novel transcript
CGGGGUUUGUCCGUUUGGAGCCCCGCUCCCUCUGUACGGGGGAGCCGUUUUCUUCUUUCUUUCUUCUUUCUUGCCUAUUAAACUUUCCGCCCCUUAAAACAAC